rnacentral:rRNA from 1 species
CCUUGUACACACCGCCCGUCACACCAUGGGAGCUGACUCAACCAGAAGACGAUCGACGUAACCGUAAGGAGCGUUUCGGCGAAGGUGGGGUUGGUGACUGGGGUG